rnacentral:rRNA from 1 species
GACGAACGCUGGCGGCGUGCUUAACACAUGCAAGUCGAACGAAGUGGCGAACGGGUGAGUAACGCGAAAUCAACCUGCCCUUCAGAGGGGGACAACAGUUGGAAACGACUGCUAAUACCGCAUACUGAAGGAGGGGAUAGCGUCUGAUUAGCUAGUUGGAGGGGUAACGGCCCACCAAGGCGAUGAUCAGUAGCCGGUCUGAGAGGAUGAACGGCCACAUUGGGACUGAGAAACGGCCCAGACUCCUACGGGAGGCAGCAGUGGGGAAUCUUCCGCAAUGGACGAAAGUCUGACGGAGCAACGCCGCGUGAGUGAUGACGGCCUUCGGGUUGUAAAGCUCUGUUAAUCGGGACGCGGUACCGGAAUAGAAAGCCACGGCUAACUACGUGCCAGCCGCCGCGGUAAUUC